UACGUAGGGUGCAAGCGUUUGUCCGGAAUUAUUGGGCGUAAAGAGCUCGUAGGCGGUUUGUCGCGUCUGCUGUGAAAACUCAGGGCUUAACCCUGAGCCUGCAGUGGGUACGGGCAGACUAGAGUGUGGUAGGGGAGAUCGGAAUGUCCUGGUGUAGCGGUGGAAUGCGCAGAUAUCAGGAAGAACACCCGUGGCGAAGGCGGCUCUCUGGGACGGUACUGACGCUGAGACGCGAAAGCGUGGGGAGCGAACAGG
rnacentral:rRNA from 1 species